GAUGAACGCUGGCGGCGUGCCUAAUACAUGCAAGUCGAGCGCUGAAGGGUGGUACUUGUCCCAAUUGGGUGAGCAGCGAACGGGUGAGUAACGCGUGGGGAAUCUGCCUAUGAGCGGGGGACAACUUUAGGAAACGAAUGCUAAUACCGCAUAAAAACUUUAAACACAAGGUUCAAGUUUGAAAGAUGCAAUUGCAGUACCUAAAGAUGAGAUCGCGUGGUAUUAGCUAGUUGGGAAGGUAAAGGCUCACAAAGGCAAUGAUCCUUAGCCGACCUGGGAGGAGGACCGGCACCAUUGGACUUGGGCACCGCCCCAGACUCCUCCGGGAGGCACCAUAGGGGAAUUUUGGCCAAUGGGCGAAAUCUGGCCGAGGCACGGCCCGUGAUUGGAAGAAGGUCUCCGAUCUGAAAACCCCGUUGGUAGGGAAAGACGUUGUUGGGAGUAAAAAGCUCAGCGAGUGACGGUACCUAACCAGAAAGCAACGGCUAACUACGUG
rnacentral:rRNA from 1 species